GUAAACGAUGAUUACUAGCUGUUUGCGAUAUAGUGUAAGUGGCAAAGCGAAAGCGUUAAGUAAUCCACCUGGGGAGUACGCCGGCAACGGUGAAACUCAAAGGAAUUGACGGGGGCCCGCACAAGCGGAGGAACAUGUGGUUUAAUUCGAUGAUACGCGAGGAACCUUACCCGGGAUUGAAAUGUACCUGAAUAUGGUGGAAACACUGUAGCUAGCAAUAGCAGGUAUGUAGGUGCUGCAUGGUUGUCGUCAGCUCGUGCCGUGAGGUGUCGGCUUAAGUGCCAUAACGAGCGCAACCCACAUUGACAGUUACUAACAGGUAAAGCUGAGGACUUUGUCGAGACUGCCGGCGUAAGCUGUGAGGAAGGUGUGGAUGACGUCAAAUCAGCACGGCCCUUACAUCCGGGGCGACACACGUGUUACAAUGGUUGGGACAAAGGGCAGCUACCUGGUGACAGGAUGCGAAUCUCCAAACCCAAUCUCAGUUCGGAU
rnacentral:rRNA from 1 species